rnacentral:snRNA from 1 species
GUGCUUACUUUGGCAGCACAUAUACUAAAAUUGGAACAACACAGAAAUUAACAGGGAUGGCCCUGACACAAAGAUAAUGUGCAAAUUCAUGAAGUGUUCCAUAUUUUU